CACAGAAAUGAGCUACACACCAGGCAGCUCUCUUCAGCAGAACUAGCACAGCCCUCCAGAGUCCUCCAUGCCUUCCUUCUUCAGCUGAAGGUUCAGUUCAAGUACCUGGUACUAAUCAUCCAGAUCAUUAAUUUUUUUUUGGUCCAAUUUACGUCAAAAGCUGUUCCCCCCUCUCCACUGAGCAACAUGGCAGCCAUUACUAGGGAAGUAUCUUGUGCAGAGAUGGCUGGCUCAAUAGUUCAUGUGAACCCAUAGCCAUGGGGACAUUGUGAUGGACAGCUCAGUGUAUCACAUAGUGUGGAUUCAGUCAUUUUGCUGCAGACAGGCCCUGCCCAGAGCAGUGGGGGGAAGAAGAUGUUGUGUUGUGCUUGGCAUGGAGGCCAGGGGCUGCUGGCAGAGCAGGUGCCCUUAGCAGUGCAGUAGCAUCCUCCUUAUGGAUUUGGAAAACAGCCAAAUUGUCCAGGUGGGACACCAGGAAUUGGAGACCCCUCCAGCAGAAUGAUGGGCAGAGGGUGGGGAGGUACAUUGACUCUGACUGUUUGUCUGGCAGAGAGAUGCCUGAAAUCAUGGAGGUCUGAGCUUGUCCAUCCAUGGGAAAAGCACAGGUUUAUUAUUCAUCAUAGAAUCAGGUUGGAAAAGACCCCUAGGAUCAUCAAGUCCAACCACUAAACCAGCACUGUCAAGGGGACAUUAAACACAAUUCCAGGCCUAUUCCAAUGUCUGUUCAAACUUUCAGUGAAGAAAUGUUCCCUAAUAUCUUACUUAAACUUCCCCAUGUGCACCUUGAGGCCAUUUCCUGUCCCCCUGUCACUUGUUACAUUGAAGAAGAGACUGACCCCCACCUUGCCACAACCUUCUUUCAGAUAGUUGCAGAGAAUAAUGUCUACCCUGAGCCUCUUUUUCUCCAGGUCAAACAACCCCAGCUCCCUCAGCUGCUGCAUGUAAGACUUGUGCUCCAGAUCCUUCACCAGCCUCCUUGGACAUGCUCCAGCACCUCAGUGUCUUUCUUGAACCACGGGAACCAAAACCAAGCACAGUAUUUGAGGUGCAUCCAACGCAAUUGCCUUGGUGUCAUUCCACAGCAUUUCUGUCCUUGGCCCUUCAAAUGUGGAACAACUUCCCCACAGGUGGCUACUAUGCUCUAAUACUCAUGUCUACAGAGGAGUCCAAACACUGAAACUGGAGUUAUGUGAGAUGGUACAUGUGCAAGAGAGGAUGGAAAAGACUUGCAGUGGAGAAGUUUCAAGUGGGGGAUUGAUGGCCUGUGAUCGUGAAGCCAAAUCACUCGCUAUACUUGCUUUGCACUACACGAUUUCCUGCUGUUGUUGGUAGGGAGAGUGAUCUAUACAGUAUUCUUAGGUCAAACUGAGAGCCAACUAUUUGAAGACCUGCACAGAUUCUUCUAAAAGAAAGAAAAUGUGGUUAUUAUUUGCGAUAUGAAUUCUGAAAAUGAAACAUUAUUCAAGGCUUAAAGAGAAGAUGAUGCCUAACAGAAAACUUUUAAAAUCAUCCCUCUGAGAAAUAUUUUUAUCAUGCAUCAUAUUUUAAGUCUUUCUCCUCCUUUGUUCUUUGCUAAUGCAGAUAGUAAACCAUAUUUGGAAAUCAACUGCAUAGUGUAUGUUUGGCAUAACUUCACUGUCCCCUUUGCUGUUUGUUUGCCUGCCUUUGCAGCCCAGUGCCACAGAGAUCUGCUGGGUUCAGUUUCAAUGCAAAGGUCCCUGCAAUGAAUGCACUCAUCUGUUCCCAGAGCCAGCUUUGCAGAGUGCUACCUGCUGGGGGAAUAUUACCCAUUUGCUUGUGAGAACAUGAGAACAGAUAAUGACAGAUAACAAAACAGUUAUGUCCUAGUUCUUGUUGGCGAGCGAAAAGCAAUGGAGCGUAUCUUGGGGAAGAUUCACGCUGAGAUGCUUUGGUUUUAUUCCCUGGUGUGAACUGAUGCAGGCUGUGAGGGCUGCUGCAAUUUAUGCUGGCUGCUUGAGGCCUCCUUUUCCAGCAGACAUGAAUUUCACUGAGCAAGGCAGCAGCUUCCACAUUUGCUGUGUUGUGUGUCUUCAAGCCUCCGGGGUCUGGAUGGAAAUGACUUACUGAUGAUAGGUGUUAGUGUCUGCAUUCAGGCACAUAUUUAGGGGUAUCUUUUCUGUCUCUUUUCCUCCAUGGGGGCUGCCAGUAUUGCCCCCAGGUAGUCCAGACCUUUUGCUCACAACAGCAGUAGGAAGCAGAGUAGACUGAAGUUAUGUCAGUUGCUCAGAGCAGGGUGCAAAUAACACUGAGGUCAUGGGUUUGAUCACCAUAUGGGCCAUUCACGUAAGAGCUGGACAUGAUGAUCCUUGUGGGUCCUUUUCAACUCGGAAUAUUCUGUGAUUUUGUGAAGUCUGAGGAAUAAACAAGAGAUUCAACAUAUUUCUUUGUUCCUACUGAUAGAGGCUAUUCCUUUCUCACCAGACAUAUCCUGAAAGCACUGUCAUGUCUAUGAGUGGCUU